CUUCGGCCCUUAGUGGCGAACGGGUGCGUAACACGUGAGCAACCUGCCCAUGCAUGGGGGAUAACCCGGGGAAACCCGGGCUAAUACCGCAUACGUUCUUUCUGUCGAGUGGCGGAGAGAGGAAAGCUCCUGUAGGGGAGCGUGCGUGGAGGGGCUCGCGGCGUAUCAGCUAGCUGGUGAGGUAACGGCUCACCAGGGCGACGACGCGUAGCCGAUCUGAGAGGAUGAUCGGCCACAUUGGGACUGAGAUACGGCCCAGACUCCUACGGGAGGCAGCAGUGGGGAAUCUUGCGCAAUGGGCGAAAGCCUGACGCAGCGACGCCGCGUGCGGGAGGAAGCUCUUCGGGGUGUAAACCGCUGUCAGGGGGGAAGAACGGGCCGGGGAGGCAAUGCCCCGGUUUUGACGGUACCCCCAGAGGAAGCACCGGCUAACUCUGUGCCAGCAGCCGCGGUAAUACAGAGGGUGCGAGCGUUGUUCGGAAUUACUGGGCGUAAAGCGCGCGCAGGCGGCCUUUUAAGUCUGCUGGUGAAAUGCCGGGGCUCAACCCCGUGCCCGCCACAGAUACUGGGAGGCUGGAGACGAGUAGAGGCAAGCGGAAUUCCGGGUGUAGCGGUGGAAUGCGUAGAGAUCCGGAAGAACACCGGAGGCGAAGGCGGCUUGCUGGGCUUGGUCUGACGCUGAGGCGCGAAAGCGUGGGGAGCGAACAGGAUUAGAUACCCUGGUAGUCCACGCCGUAAACGAUGGGCACUAGACGCUGGUGGGAUCGACCCCUUCGGUGUCGCAGCUAACGCGAUAAGUG
rnacentral:rRNA from 1 species